UACGGAGGGAGCUAGCGUUGUUCGGAAUUACUGGGCGUAAAGCGCACGUAGGCGGCUUUGUAAGUCAGGGGUGAAAUCCUGGAGCUCAACUCCAGAACUGCCUUUGAUACUGGCGAUCUCGAGUUCGGGAGAGGUGAGUGGAACUGCGAGUGUAGAGGUGAAAUUCGUAGAUAUUCGCAAGAACACCAGUGGCGAAGGCGGCUCACUGGCCCGGUACUGACGCUGAGGAGCGAAAGCGUGGGGAGCAAACAGG
rnacentral:rRNA from 1 species